rnacentral:misc_RNA from 1 species
GGAAAAAAAAAAAAAAAAAACACUAAGACUAUCUAGCCAGAAAUAUUUUAAAUGAUCCUGAAUAGAUGAAAAACUAUAAAUCUUUUACCAGCCUUAAAAACAAAUAGUUGCUACUAAAAGGUGCUAGAAUCAUUAACUAUGAGUGAUAUAGGAAAACGACAAAGCAUGAAAAAGGAAAGUAAAAGAAAUCAGUUCAUUAUCAUAAAGUAAAACCAUCUCAUCUCCUAUGGUUCUCUUCACAAUAUUAUCAAGACAAUAGCCAGAUCUCAACGCCUGUUAUGAAAUUCCUAUAACAUUACAUCCUAUUCACUUUUCUCCAUACAAAUUGAAGAAAUCCAAACAAUUACCCCUAGCAUAGUACCAAAUUGAAACAAAACAACAAAACCCUUGACCCAACACAGAACCCAUAUCUAUCCCCUGACAAGAAACAAACCUGCCUGUACACGACUGGAACAAGAGGACCACAUUAGAAUCACUCCAAGUCCAAACAAAACCACCACCCAAAACACAGGUAUUUCUUUCAACAAAGCAUUUAACAAGAGAAGUUCUUUCUCAUUAAUGCAAGAAUAUAUACAAAACAAAUUCUCAUUCAACAGCUUCUGUUUACGUAUCGGGUCCUCAAAACAAAAGAAAUAGGGUAAACCUAAAAAUUUUCAUUUCGAAGAUUACAAUUACAAAUUAUAUUCACAAUUGACAAUAAAAGCAGUUGAGCACAACGCAAAAACCAAGUUUGCUCAACGAACCUUAAUUGAUUCGCUCACGGACUCACACCGCUCUCCGAUCCUCAAGAACCUCGGAGGCGGGUAAGGAAAGCACCGUGACAUUUUUCCGGUUAUCUGCCCUGGUUUUUACAAAGAAAACGGUUCAAGAAACUUUUCUUCUUCCUCCUCUUCUUCAAUAAAAGUACCCCUAAGGUUUUCUAAUCAGGUCGCGGCCAAGAAACCCGCGUUCUAGGGUUUUUUAAGAGCGAAAAACUUUUAACUCCAAGCCUCUCGCCCUUCAAUGUUUG